AAAUGCGAUAAGUAAUGUGAAUUGCAGAAUUCAGUGAAUCAUCGAUUCUUUGAACGCACAUUGCGCCCGCCAGUAUUCUGGCGGGCAUUCCUGUCCGAGCGUCAUUUCAACCAUCAAGCCCCCGGGCUUGUGUUGGGGACCUGCGGCUGCCCGCAGGCCCUGAAAACCAGUGGCGGGCUCGCUGUCACACCGAGCGUAGUAGCAAUCACCUCGCUCAGGGCGUGCUGCGGGUUCCGGCCGUUAAACAGCCUUACAAAACCCAAGGUUGACCUCGGAUCAGGUAGGAAGACCCGCUGAACUUAAGC
rnacentral:misc_RNA from 1 species